rnacentral:rRNA from 1 species
CGGACGGGUGAGUAACACGUAUCCAACCUGCCGUCUACUCUUGGACAGCCUUCUGAAGGAAGAUUAAUACAAGAUGGCAUCAUGAGUCCGCAUGUUCACAUGAUUAAAGGUAUUCCGGUAGACGAUGGGGAUGCGUUCCAUUAGAUAGUAGGCGGGGUAACGGCCCACCUAGUCUUCGAUGGAUAGGGGUUCUGAGAGGAAGGUCCCCCACAUUGGAACUGAGACACGGUCCAA